rnacentral:lncRNA from 1 species
UUGGAUCUUGUGACUAGCACUUCCUUCCUGCCGGGUGUGGCAGUUGGGUCUUGUGACUAGCACUUCCUUCCUGCCCUGUGGGACUUGCUUCUGGGUAUUGGAGGAGAGAGGAGCUUGUUCAGCCCAGUCUGGAGUGGCAUGCUCUUCUUGGUUCAGCCCAAAGUGAAGGUGCUACUAUAUAAGCUAUGUGGGAUGAUGGAAAGAGCUACAGAUUUGUACCCUGAGCAUCUGGAUUUGAAUUCCCUGCCCUAUGAUUUAAUACCUGAGUAACUUUGGAUUUCCCAGUGACAUGGCUGGGGGCCCUAAUGGCAGCCUCAGAAUAGCAAGCUACAUGGAGCAUUGAGGUAAGUAUAUCUUUCUCUUAUUUUCCCAUCUUUUCCCCAUACUACUUUUGAUUAAUAAAAUUAUUAAUU